UUUUUUUUUAUUUUGUUUGUGUCCAUCUUCCUCCUUUUACCUAGAGAAAUGUAAUGUGAUUUAAGUCGGUUUUUGGUUAAAAUUGUGGUAAGUGAAACUUGUAGCAAUUCCAGUGCUAGACCUCAGGGAUCUGCUCAGCCCAUCAGCUGUGUGUUAGAAGUCAUGCCAACAUGAAGGCAUGUGUGAUAGAUGAGUCAGGCCCUGGUUUGGUUUUGCUCUACAUUGCUUUAAGAAUGAAUAUAUAUAUAUAUAUUUUAGAACAUGUGUGUAUAUUUCAUAUCAUAUGUGGAUCCUAAAAUGGUCUGUGUAGUGCUUUCUUUUAUUGCUAAAGUUAUUACUAAAAUAUUUGCAUAUAAGUAGCUUUUUCUAAAAGUCUAGUUGAUUUAGUCAGCCAUUCUGUAACCUAGAGUCCCAUGGCAUAUCUGCACAGAGAUUAAUUUUGGAAUGUCCUCCAAGGCAGGGAGUUGUGAAAAUGACUUCUUUAGGUCCUCUUUGGUUCUAUUUUCUGCGAUUCUGAGAAUGAGGCUGAUUUUAGUUUUCCGUGUGACUGCAUUUCUACUGUGGAUUCAGGGAGAAAACCACCCACUUUUUGCAGAUAGUAUUUUAUUACAUAUUGUGGGGAGAGAUGGUGUUGCUUUCUUUGAAGAGAAAAUGGCAUGUGACUUGUCCUACCCUUGGAUCUCUGACUCCAGUCCUUCUCCCAGCUGCAGGAGUUCCCUGCUGGUGGGCACUUACUGCCCUCCUGGUACACACUGGCACUCGGAGUAUCCUCCUGCAUCCUUCAGGACAGGGCUGGGACUGUGUGGAUCCAAGUGCAGCUGGUCUGUGUGGCACUGCAGCGCUCCCUGGCUGUGAGGGGAGUAAACCCAGUGCAAAGCUGGGGCUCAAACACCACGCUGAUGGCACAGUGCUUUAACAGAUCCAAGCUUUAAUGGACCCAAGGAAGUUCAGUGCUGUAGUGAGAAGUCCCAGCUGUCCACACGUGAUUAAAAGUCUAAAGCUUGAAUUGCUUUACUCAAAGACAUAUAUCAGAAGGUAGGAAGGCUGCUCUCUCCCAAGUAAGAGAGCAGAAAUCCUGUCCUCUAGCCAAGACUGCACCUUGUGAUCCAGCUUUUACAAGGAGCUGCUGGCUGUGGGGAGGGAAUGAUCACAAAGGCAGCCUCCUCCCCAGGGUGUGGGAGUCACUUCUGCCCCAGGAAUGUUUGUGCUUCUCAUCUGUUUCCCUGAGUGCAAGGGAGAGGCUGUGUGUGUGUGUUAUGUCAGACCUUAGAGGAAGCUGAAGCUUUUGCAUCUGCAUCUCACCCCUCUCUGAACAUUCUGCUAACCUGGGAUGGAAUCUCUGGCUUACUGUCCAGCUGAGCAUCCUCCUCGAGCACUUGCUGCUGCAUUUUGCUGUAACUCAUCAUGCUUGUUUUUAUCAGCAAGCAUGGCAAUAAAACAAUCACUUUUUUCUACAAAUCACAAUCCUGCAUGAAGGAGCAGGGUAAGCCCUUCUUUCAGAAAUACAGUUCCUGUUACAGGUUCACAUAGGUCCUCUUUUGGGGGUUGCGUUUUUAACAUGCUUCCAAAGCUGGAGAUCAUCUGAGUAUUUUGGGCUCUACCACACUCAUGUCAGGAAGUUGCUCUUUGUGUCUCUGUGUACCUGAGGCUGUAGCUUGGGGCAGACUUAACUUGCUAACUCAAUUGGCUAAAUAAACUCUUUCUUGAACCUUGCAUGGAACUAGGAAAGCUGGCAGAAUUAUUCAUAUUCAUUACUGUUUCCAUAUAAAUGUACUUCGGUUCUCUCAGAUACUGUCUUAAGUGACCAAACUCCCAGUGUUUUCCUAGCUGUUUUGUUCAGUCCAAUAACCAGCUGUAAAAUUCUUUUCUUGACAGCCUGAUUUUGCUCUUUGAAUUCAUCCUGAAAGUGGUUCACUGUGUAUUAUCUUAAUUUUUUUCUUCUUGCUGUUCACUGUCAGCUGAUGUCAGCAGAGCACAAUGGCAUGAUUAGCUUUCAUCCCAAUUUGCUUGUUGAAUUUAGUUUGGUUUUGAAAUACUACACAAUCGUUUAAACUUUGUGUACAGAGAAUUUUUGAAGUUUUCUUGCCUUAGCAACUACAGAAAUCAUCUGUCUAGCUCUUGUCAGUAAACUUGUUGGAAAAAAAUGUUAAAAAUUGAUGUUUACCUUAACAUUCUGUUUGGUCUUGGACUAUAAAAUGUAGUUUCAUGUCAAAUUGGAUAACCUUCUUCUCAAAGUAUUUCCUGAGAAUUGACAGCCACCAACAGGACUGCUAAUGUAGUUAAACAAAACUUACACAGAGGUUAAAGGUGCUUUAAAAGAGAAUAUGUGUUUCUGUUUAAAUCAUAUCAAGGUUUCAAGCCUUUCCAAAAUAUAUGUGAACUGACUCAGAGUUCUGAGCAAGAGCCUACUGGACAUGUUCAAAUACCCAUGUUUGAGAUGAGGAUUAAAUUGAUGGCUUCAGCUGCAAAUAAGCUUAGGCCAGAGUCUGAUUACAAUGUAAUUGCCAAUAUUGUGAAUUUCUUUGGUAUAUGAAAGUAACUGAUUAAUAUCCAAGAUGCAUUUUACAAACUAUAAUGAAUUUUAAGUGAACAGAAGAUAAUUUGAUAAAACAGAAUGGUGAAGAAAAUGCUGGAUGCAUUUAAAACUCUCUUCAUGACAAUAAUGUGUUUUAUUUUUGGUGUUGCUUUUAUUAAUGGGAAGUUGGUAUUUUUAAGUAUUUUUCUACAAAGAUGUGUAUGUGCAAAGGCAAUACUUUAACAUUUUUCAAGAACUUGUAUUUUUAAAUGCUGUAGACCAGAGACUGUCUACAUUUGGACUGAAGUUAGUAGCUUUAAAAAAUGCAAUGUAAGCUUUAAUUUUUAUAUUAUAAUAAUAACUUGCUGACAACUUGUUUACAUAUUUGUAGGAGGGAAGGCUUUGUUAUGCAUUGACUUAUCUUGAUGCUCUCUUUAAUAAAUGCUGCUUUGAGCAGGAUGCAAUGGAUGUUUUAUUACCUGAA